rnacentral:tRNA from 1 species
GGGCCGGUAGUUCAGCUCGGCAUACGAAAGGCCGACGAACGUCCGGUUUGCAGCCGGAAAGCCGCGGGUUCAAAUCCCGCCCGGUCCA